rnacentral:tRNA from 1 species
GAGGGGAUAGCUCAGUGGUAGAGCACAGUGCUUAGCAUGCACGAGGUCUGGGUUCAAUUCCCUGGGACCUCC